rnacentral:lncRNA from 1 species
UCUGUCACCAGGGUGGAGUGCAGUGGUGCCAUCUUGGCUCACUGCAACCUCCGCCUCCCGUGUUCAAGUGAUUCUCCUGCCUCAGCCUCCCAAGUAGCUGGGACUACAGGCACGCACCACUACGCCCAGCUAAUUUUUGUGUUUUUAGUAGAGAUGGGGUUUCACCAUAUUGGCCAGGAUGGUCUCCAUCUAUUGACCUCGUGAUCCGCCCCCUCAGCCUUCCAAAGUGCUGGGAUUACAGGCGUGAGCCACUGUGCCCGGCAAAACUCUGUCUCAAAAAAAAAAAGUAAGAGGAGGAACACAUUCACCCUCGGUAUAAUGCUUGUAUAUAUGGAGAGAUGUGCUCUGCUACAA